UACGGAGGGUGCAAGCGUUAUCCGGAUUCACUGGGUUUAAAGGGUGCGUAGGCGGGCAGGUAAGUCCGUGGUGAAAUCUCUGAGCUUAACUCAGAAACUGCCAUGGAUACUAUUUGUCUUGAAUAUUGUAGAGGCAAGCGGAAUAUGUCAUGUAGCGGUGAAAUGCUUAGAUAUGACAUAGAACACCCAUUGCGAAGGCAGCUUGCUACACAAUGAUUGACGCUGAGGCACGAAAGCGUGGGGAUCAAACAGG
rnacentral:rRNA from 1 species